AUUUAGUGAUGAGGACAACUAGUACACGGUUUCUUGAAACGUUCCCAAUACUCAUACAAGGAUUCCCUAUUGUGUUGCCUCACACCACAAAUUUCUUUUCCAAUGUU